GACGAACGCUGGCGGCGUGCCUAAUACAUGCAAGUCGAACGCAGUGGGGACGGGUGAGUAACACGUGGGUAACCUCCCAUCAGAGGGGAUAACACUUGGAAACAGGUGCUAAACCGAUACUGAUGGAUGGACCCGCGGUGCAUUAGCUAGUUGGUGAGGUAACGGCUCACCAAGGCAACGAUGCAUAGCCGACCUGAGGGGGUGAUCGGCCACACUGGGACUGAGCCACGGCCCAGACUCCUUCGGGGGGCAGGAGGAGGGAAGUUUUGGCAAUGGACGAAAAUCUGACCGAGCAACGCCGCGGUAGUGAAGAAGGGUUUCGGAUCGUAAAACUCUUUUGGUAGGGAAGCGGUAUCUAACCAGAAAGCCAAGGCCAACUACGUGCCAGCCGCCGCGGUAAUUC
rnacentral:rRNA from 1 species